rnacentral:lncRNA from 1 species
GGACGUAUGUCACCAUUUGUGACAACAGUCAGUUUUGGAAGUGAUGGGAUUCUAAGUAUAGCUCUUAAAAGAAGUGACAGGCCAGCUACAUAAACUCCUCUAUGACAUCUUCAUAAGGCUGCCAAACCUAUCAGGUUAAGUUGCUCACUCUUGCCAUUAAGGAGGAUAUUGACUCGCAACCAUAUUAAUGUACGUAACACUGGCAAGGAUCCUGGUCUUGUUCUGUAAAUCACAAAUGCUAUAUGCUAUUGAUGUUUAACAUCAUACCUAUUUCAAAGACCACGUCACAUAUCUACAAGGGAUUAGUCAGGUUAGCAAAAAGGAAUGGCAGCAUCUCUUUUUCAAUUACUGUCUCUCUCUUUUCCCUGUCCUGCUUUGAUAAGCGUGUGUCUCAUAUUUUUCCUUAUCUUGCUGGCCUUUCCUUUUUCUUUCCUGACUUGGAUGAAACAGAGAAAUAGAAUAGUGUGUCAUCAGUAUGCUAAAGACAGUUUACCCCAAAUCUCCUAAUGACUCCCCUAGCUGCUUAAUAGGAGGAGAAUAGCACUGAGGACAAAAUGGAACUUCUCAGAAUGGAACUCCAUAGCAUCUGCCAUAAUACUGAGGUAGAUACACCCAAUGCUAUUAUCUGGAAACAGCCCUGAGUGUGGAGUAGAACCACUGUAAUACAGUGCCCCCAACCACCAUCCCACUCCAAGAUGGAGGAUACCAUGGUUAAAGGUGUCAGAAGCUGUCAAGAGGACAAGGAGCUGGGUCACAUUCUCCUUUUCAGAAUAAAGUUCAUCCAUCAGAAUGACCAAGUCUGAUUUGGUUCCAUAACAAGGCCUGAACUCAGCCUGGAAUGGGUCUAGACCAGCCUUUCUUAACACUGGGUCCUCAGAUGAUGUUGUGCUACAACUUAUAUCAUCUGUCAGGGACUGGCAGGGCUCUGACGAGUACAUGGUGGAGGCAGAGGGGUCAGAGGCCAAUGCAGGAGAGGGAGCCAGCAAUUUAUAGGAUUUUGUGCCACCUAUGAGGCAGGAGCCAGGGUUGGUGGAAGGGGAAGCAUCCACUAGCCAGAGGCUGGAGAGGAGGUGCAGGAUGUGUUGGAAGUGAAGGAAGAUGCAGUUCAGGCGAGAGACGGGGCAGUCAGAUCCCCACCAUCCCUUGCCCCGCUGUCUCCAAGAACCAGGAGGGAUUUGAUGAGGCUAGCACAGGAACAACUCCCAUGUAGGAGUGUUUGCACACACUUCGUCAAACGAGGCUACUUAAGCCCGCGGGGGUGGGAGCUGGUCCCACUGUUGCUUCAACUGUUCAGCCAGGGCACAAGCCUGGGAAAGUCAUGCUAGCUACGUAGCCACUAGGAACAUGAGUGUUUGUAUAUUCUGUUCAGUUUAGGAGCUGCUGUAAGGAUGUGCUUUUGUCAACAACAACAAAAACAACUACUGGCCAUUUGUCCUUGGUGGGGUGUGCCCAGGAUGUCAUCCCUGAACACUGGUCCUGCUAGUUAGGAAUGAUGGGAGUUGUAGUCCAACUACAUCUGGGGACUCGAGGUUCAGAGAAGCUGAGUUAGAUCAAUUUCAUCCAAGAGCAUCUGGAGUUGAUCAGCGACCAUCCUUUUACAGCCAGUGCAGUAUGGAUAAAUUGGUUAUUCAAGCACAUUUUUUCGCUUCAUUUGUUCUCUCUGUAGUAUGCAGCAAUAUUCACUGUGGCUGUUGACCUUUGGAUCUGUGUAGGUAGGUAGGUGCUGAUGAAUAGAGUAUUCCCUCUUUGGGAGGAGGUUGGACUGGCCAAUCCAUAGGCCCUUCCAACUCUAUGAGACUGGUUUUUUGUUCUAUGAAAUAUGCUUGAAAGCAGAAGAUGCAGUCACUUGGUAUGAAGAUUCAAUUUGUUCAAGCACUUCUUGAGUUCUGUAAAUGACACUUGUAGUUAUUGCCCAUGAGCCAGUAUUUUUCUGCAAUGUAUAGUAGUGGGCAGGAGGAAUGUUUUCAGUUUCUCUUUUUAAUUGUACCUGAUUUUUUGUUGUGUAUAAAUGUGGAGUUUUCUUAUAUGUUUUGAAAUUGCUGUUUCCUGCCCAGAUCUUGAGGGGGAAGGUAGCAUUAAAUACUUCAAAGUAAGUGCAGAAAAUCAGUGUCCACUCAAGUUGUGGAAAUGCCCAUUUGCCUCAAUAUAGGUAAUGUUUCUAGUUUUUAUCUUCCCCAAUACAUGGGUGUUCAGGGCACUGUGGUACCAUUUGGAACCCCAACUUCCUGUGUUUAUAACUGUACCAUAAAGUGCCAUGGUAGCGAUGCUGCAAAUUUUGACUUCUAUUCAUGUUAGGCCUAACAGUUCUGACUUGUCUGUAUGCUGUGUGAACAACAGGGCAACCUUGGGGCUUGUGGGUCAAAGAAUUUAGAUAAAAGAAUCUUGCUUCUUGCUUGCUGUGACUACCUAGUGAGGCGAAGCAUAGUACAUGCAGGUCCUGCUAUCCAAACACAGUAUGUUCUCAGGAAACCUUUUGUUAGGCAAGUAUUAGCAUAACAUCAAUGAUUUCCAUUGAUUCCUAUUGGAAAAUUUCUAAUAUCUUCCUGACCACCGACGUUUGACCCCCCCCCCCAAAAAAAAAACCCAAGAAAACCUUCUGAAACCUUGCAGAAGGUGAACAAGGAAGGGGAGGGGGAAACCACUCUGUUAUUUGUUCGAUCUCUCUCCCUUCCUCCCCCACCCCCAAUCAUUUCUGGCGAAAAGGUUGCUGCAGACCAAAACACAAAAAGUAAGGCUUGCUUAAGGCUGCUUAUUUGUUUACAGUACUACAUGCAGGGCCAGCUGUUGUCCUGUGUAUAGCCUUGUUUGGGUACUAAUUCCUCAUGUUUGGAUAUGGGAUUUUUUUGUAUAACACAUGUGUGGAUAAUGGGACCCGUAUGUAUACUCUUCUGUAUCUUUCUAUUGCUUCAUACUGAAGGUGAUUUUGUGCUUACUUUACAUGUAUCUAUAUGGUUAUAAUAGUUUUUAUGUGUAACUGCAGAUUUUUAUAUGGCUGAUGGAAGUAUGUAAUUGUUAUGUGUGUAUCAGUGUGUGUGAGAGAGAGAGAGAGAAGGAGGGAGAGGGAAAGCGAGAAAGAGGCAUACAUGUGUACAUUUCAAAAUUAGUCAUAUGGCCUAAAUAUAAGCUUCUCACUCUUGGUUUAUUAUCUGUGCUCCUUGUAUUACCUUUUCAAAAUCCAGCUCUUAAUGGGAGGCAGAGAAGAAGCUGAGUCAGCGUGCCUCAUAUCUCAGUGGUUUUAGUAUGAAAACCAGAAAAGGUGAAGUGAAUUAAAAUCCUUCCCAGUUGUAGAGAGCAGAAUCUGUUGGCUCCAUUUUUAAAUGUCAGUGAAUUUUAUUUUGCAGACAAGUGUAAUAGAUAGCAAGGAACUGAGGAAGCCUUUCUUCAGGUUGUACACCUUUUUCAUUGCUGCACAAGGAUCAAAAACAGAAAGUAAAACACACUCUGUGCAGCAGCACAGAAUAGCAAAUAACUUGGAGAGCAGGACUUCUAGGUUUCUUUGCCUUGUGAAGUUCAGAAGAUAUUAAAGAGACUGAAGUGAGAAAACUGGCUUAUAAAUGGUUUGGGUCAGGAUUUAUCAAGAGGAAGUUAUUUGAAGUGUUGCAACAUUACAGAGUCUCCUCCAGCUUCUUUAAAAAAAAAUUAUUGUGGGUAUUAUUUUGGUAAAAACUGGCAUAUCACUUCUCUGAACUAAAGUUUGUUUGUUCAUUUACUUACUUGAUUGCAUUUAUGAAUCACUUUCCAUAAAAUAUCUCGAAGCAAUUUCGCAGUAAAAACAUCAACAAUAGAAACAAUUUGCAAACUUUUUUUAAAAGAACAGUUUCAAAUCCAUUACAUAUAUAGAGUGAGAUAAAUAUCUGAAAAGGGUUGUUGAAAAAAGGUCUUCAGUAGGCAGAGAAAAGACAAUAGAGAUGGUGACUGACUGAUAUGUAACCAGAGGAAGUUCCAAAGGGCAGGUGCCACCAUACUAAAUGCCUGAUUCCUAUCUCAUAUGGAAUGAACCUCCUGAGGAAAUGGUUUCUGCAGGAAGCCCUCUCCUGCAAAGCACAGUGAUUGAUUUGGUACACAAGAAGUGAAGCAAACUUUUAGAUAUCCUGGUCCCAAGCUGAAUAGGGUUUUAUAUUAAAACCUAGUGAAAAGCAUGGGACAGAGACAGUCUUGCAUGCAUCUGCAGUUCCUUUGGGGAAAGCACAGUAGUGAAGUAGGCUUUAUCCUGGACAGCAGUGGCCCAGAAAUGGUUUGUCAAAGUAGCUAGAAUCUGAGAUACAUUGGGAAAAGUGAUGAGCUGCUGAUCUGCCUGCUAUAAAACCACAAAUCUGAGCAGGGAAAUGCUCAUGUUCUUAAGUGUUUUCUGAACACAUGUUAAGUAUUUGUUUCAGUGGCCUUCCAAGGACACUGUGCAAAUAAGUGUGGUGUGAAUUACUUGAACUUCGCAAAUACAAAUCAGGAAAUUAAAGUACCAUUUCAUUGUGAAUGUUAAUUUCCUGUGGGCAUGGAAUGAUCCUGUAGGCAAGUGAAUGAUCUGAACUUGUGGAUGGAACAUUUGAUACUACGUCAACUAGGCAGCAUUUCAAAUUCCCCACAGAAAGUUUGGUCCUCUCUGCAGUACAGUGUUGGCACCUGGACUUUGCACAUGUGGCAUUUUAUAGAAAGAAACUAUAAGAAUAGAGACAUUGGGGGCCUAACACAAAUAGACAUGUUUUUCACCUAGAUACCAACUCACAGAUAUAUGAUCAGCCAUGCCCUUGUCUAGGGCACAAGUUGGAAACCCAGCAUUACCCACACUGACUUGUAUCCUUAUCCUUCCCUACUAUUUUGGGACUCCCAGCAGCAACAAGAGAGGAGCAGCUGCAGAGUAGUUCAGUUUUCUUCCUGCUCUGUGUUUGCUGCUGCUCUCACUGCAAGGAGAGGAGAGCUGUCAGAUCACUCUUGGGGAACCUACACACCCACACAAAAAUUUGCAGUGAAUGGCUUUUGUGGCCAAGACUUCAGGGUUAGGUGGGGUGGAGAGAUUUAAAACAACAACAACAAAUGCUGGGUUGACAUAGCUGACAUCUGGACUGGGGUGGGUGUCAGUAUUUGAGGUUUUUUAUAUUUAUCUGUUGGUUAGUAGACAGGAGUACCAUUUUGUUUUAUCACUAACGUGCUGCCAAAGUUUUAUAUUGCUGUUAUUGGGGGGGGGCUGCGUUUUGUUUUUUAUGUGGUUGUAUGGAAUGUUAGUGUUUUAUAUGCGUUUUUCUCUUUUCUACGGUAUGCUGUAUUUAUGUAUAUGUUUUACAGUGGAAGUCAUCUGGAGACCUUUUAGGUAACACCCAUGAUCUUGGAAGCUAAGCAGGGUCAGGCUGGGUUAGCAUUUGGAUGUGAGACUGCUUGGAAAUAGGGUCCAGGGUUUUUUUAGGGAUGGGCCAUAGCUCAGAGGAAGAGCAUCAGCCUUGCAGGCAGAAUGUUCCAGGUUCAAUCCCCCACAUCUUCAAUGAUCUAACUUCCUACCUUUGAGACUUCUCUGUUCUGGUAACUGAGCAACAGACUGAAGAGUAAAGAGGCCAUAUCCCAUGAACUGGGCUUGCAGAUUUAAUCUGGCUGUGGGGGGGGCAUUCUAAUGACACAAACUUUUAUGUAUGUGAGCACCUUUUUUACCUUUGGGAAUACAAUUUGUAGGCUUUGGGCUGCCUUCAUUUAUUUAAAACAGAAAUCUAUUUGUAUUUCAGCAGUGACAUUCAAAACUAGUUAAAAUAAAUUGAAAAGCAUCCAGCUUCGAAAAGUAGUCUUCAUUCUGUGUAACUUUUCUGAAUGUUUUGCCCUGCUGUGAAAGUGGGUUGUUGUUUUUUUAUUAUUUAAUAUUUAUUUCUUCCGCUAUGGAAGUCACUGAAACAUCUGUUGGGAAGAUCUAGUGGCCAAUAGAAAAAAAGAAGAAAAUUGCUUGACAUGGGAAAGGGAUUUGAUGCCGUAUCAUUGCAAAACGCAGCAAGUACAAGAAUAUGGAUGAAUUUGGGGAAGCAGAAUGCUGUGGUCUAAUAGGAAGUCUACUGCUCUCUUGGGAUAAGUCUGUGGAUGAUAAUAAAUCAAGAGGAGCAUGACUUCUGGCUGUUCCUGGGGAUUAUUUUGUUCAAGCUCUAAGAAAGGAAGUUAAAACAUGCGGAGAGGCAGACUGGCUGUUUUUCAGUUUGUGUUUUUUUACUCCAAGAAAAAUGCUGACAUGGUUACUAAUUAUGUAAUAAGUGGGUAGCUAUAAGGAACUUAAAAACCUGACAAAUUUAGUGUUUUGAGGUGAGGAAUAGGUUGGAUGCAUGGAGGGGAGGAGUGCUCAUUCCUGAUUGAUUUUAUUUUAAAAUUUAGCAUUAACCCCCUCCUGCUUGGCUGCACCAGUAGUGCCUCAAAACCUUUUAGCUCUAGCAAAUAAAUCAGCACAUCCCUGCUGUCUGUUGCAUAAAUAAAAUAUGCACAUUGUUAACUCUGCAUUAUUACAGGGUAUCUGUACUUCAAUAUUUAUGAAAGUGUCAUCUGUUGUUUUGUGUUGGCUUUGUCUCAGUUUCUGUAACAGAGAGAAAGAAACAGAAAGAGGUGUGUGUAAUGUACACUCUGAGCUCCCAUUGUCUCGGAAGGUGUUCGGGUGCUCUCUCUUUUUCUCUCUGUGUGUAUGUGAAAGAGAGCUGAUACUUUCAGAAUCACUGUUCCGAAUAGAUAAAUGGAAUUGCCAGAGGGUUACUAAUAUCCUUUAAAAAGAGAAAUACUCUUUCUCCCUAAAGGAGGUGGGAAAAAAAUUAGAGCAAUUACAUAUGUAUUGUGAACGUCUGUAUCAAAAAGAGCAAAAAAGGAAGAGAAUGGAAGGCUUUCCCAUUCAGUGUUCUAAGUGUAUAAUUGGCCACAAAUUGCUUGAAGGGAGAACAAGGAGGGGCAAGGGCAGUGUCUGUCCUCCGGAGUUUUGCAGAAAAGUCAGAUUUCCUUCCAUAUGUAUCAGUGGGUAAAAGAUGGCAGGCACAGCAGAUACUUUGGCAUUGCCACAAGCAGCAGCCUAAUGUGUCAACACAGAUUAGUCUUGCUGCAUGUCUAGCAUCUCUUCUGUAUGUAGAUGGAUUUUGAUCCUUUACUAGACAGGCUGUUGAAAUGUCUGAGGGAAACUGAGCUGCCUCCCAAAGCACCUACUGCUCUUUGCUAUACGCACUACUGUAUGUGAGCUCAGUCUCCUAUUCAACUGUUAAGUAAGGAUCAGGUGUUCAGUGGAAUCCACACACACACAUACCCCGGCAAUUGCAUAAGAUAUCGACACUAAAACAUUUGAUACAAGCUUAAUAAACACAAGACAACUGCAGACAAUGUCGAUUUAAGCCAGUGCAGCUGUUGUGAGAAAACAAAUGCUUUUUAAAAUAAUUGCAUGCAGGACGUUUUACUGGAUCAACAAUUCAAACUACAUUCAAUAUUAAAAGCUCACCAGCAUUUGUCAGAUGACCUUUUGGUAAUCGUGAGAAGUAUUGAUAGUGUGCAUAAGUGUUCUUGAAAUGGGAUAUCCUCUCUGGAUUCCCACUUCUGGGCUUUGGACCAUCCCUUGGCAGCCUGAAAAGAUAAUGGGCUUAUCUUGUAGUGUUUUCGAAUCGGCUCAGAUAAGCGUUUUACCUAAGGGCUUCAAGUGCCGUUUUGCUCCCUAGAAUCUAGCCCAACCCCCUGCAU